GAGGCGUGAGUCUUCGGGACUCGCCGCACUGCUCAGUAACACGUAGUUAACCUGCCCUAAGGUGGAGGAUAAUCUCGCGAAAGUGAGGCUAAUACUCCAUAGGUUUUAGAUACUGGAAUGUUUUAAAACUCAAAACUUCGGUGCCUUAGGAUGGGACUGCGGCGUAUCAGGUUGAAGUGAGUUUAAAGUACUCACUUGCCUAUAACGCGUAGGGGCCAUGAGAGUGGAAGCCUCGAGAUGCCUUCUGAGACAUGAAGGCAGGUCCUACGGGACGCAGCAGGCGCGAAAACUUUCCAAUUCAUUAACGUGUGAGAAGGGAACCCUGAGUGGUUAUACACUGUAUAAUCUUUUCUUUUGUUUCGAUGGCAAGAGGAAUAAGUGGUGGGCAAGACAGGUGCCAGCCGCCGCGGUAAUACCUGCGCCACGAAUGGUGAUCAUAGUUAUUGGGUCUAAAGCGUCCGUAGCCGGUUUAGCAAGUUUCUGGUGAAAUCUGGCAGCUAACUGUCAGGCGCGCUGGAAAUACUACUAGACUUGGGAUUGGGAAAGGGCAGAGGUAUUUCAUGGGUAGGGGUUAAAUCCUUUAAUCCAUGGAGGACCACCUGUGGCGAAGGCGUCUGCCUGGAACGAGUCCGACGGUGAGGGACGAAAGCGUGGGGAGCAAAUGGGAUUAGAUACCCCAGUAGUCCACGCUGUAAACGAUGCCCGUUUGGUGUCACCGAUCUUACGCGGAUUGGUGGUGCCGGAGCGAAG
rnacentral:rRNA from 1 species